rnacentral:rRNA from 1 species
CUGGACCUUGCAGCGAGUAGCAUGCCCGGAGAUUUUAGCCAGUGGAUAAUGAAGCAUUACGACCCGGAGAUUUCGCAGAUAGUCAUUCCAGAAAGGGGGAAGAUUCAUGUAGAUGCCGCUAGUGUCCGUAGGAUAUGGGGUUUGCCCAACAGGGGCAGGAAGGUGUGCUUCGAGAAUCGGCCUGAAAUCACAAAGGCAAUGUACAGUAUUUACAACAUCACAUCGAAGAACUCCCCAACCCUCACAGAAUGGUGCAAGAUGAUCGUAGACAUGGGAGGAUCUCAUGAUGAUGACUUUGUCCGCGCUUGGCUAGCUCGUGUUUUUUUGUGCUUCCUUGCCCCUUCAACUAGUUUGAGCAUUUCUCCAAAGAGUUUCCCGGCGGUCAUGGAUGUCAAUUGA